AUGACUGGGUAUGCUUAUACAGUGUACUGUGUGAGAUAUCUGCACAGAAAAAAAUGGAAAGAAGAAGAAAGGAAGGAAUCAUUUUCUGUCAGAUCAGAUCCUGCAUCCAAUUCACUACUUUGACACAUGAACAAUUUUUGGACACAACUGAGCCUUGAGAGCAGGGAGUACACAGCAUCAAUACAGUUAUGGGAGAAUGAGUGAGCUGGUCUGUGGCUUUUCUUCUGCAUCAUCCACAUUGUCAGCUUAAGUCUGUCUGCAGAGCCCUCAUUAAAAAGGGGAGUGGAGGGAAUGAACAGCUUGCUUUUUUCAAAUUCCAGAUGGAGUUUGUGAAUCUGACAGGUGAAGAAGAGAAAUGAGUGGGUCUUACCCUGCCUGCCAUCAGCUCUCCACAGAGCCCACCUUGUCGGAGGUGGACCAACAGGAGCCUACAGAGAAUGGAGAGAGAUGCAGAAAAGCUGCAAGGAAGCCUCAGAGGAAGAACAACUGCAGCUGUGAGGGGCUGCCUGAGACCCAGCCACAGAACGCAGCCUCACAAACCACUGUGGAAUUCCCCUGUUUGUACCCCAGACCACUCCUUCCCUUACUCCCUAGCUCCCAACUCUCCCUAUAUGGCUGGACAUAUCCCUUGUGGCCAAUCCCUCCAUUUCCCUUAUCACUGACCCUUAGGAUUUGAUGUUCCUAUCAAGAAUCCCUCCUUUGUUCCAGACUCUUCUAUACUCCUCUGUAUAUAAA